ensembl:lncRNA
UACGGCAUAAGGCUCAACAUCAACAUAUGGGGCUUGUCUUAACGCAUAAUAGUGAGCGGGACCUACUGACUGACUGAUCUACUUCACUGUAACCCGAUGCCACUUUAACCACGCCCCCCGACCUAGACCACAGAGACCACCAGUUGUAUCUUUCUCUAUCGUUCGCCUCCAUCCAAGGGUGCCCACCUCUCUGUAAUCAACUGCUAACUAACUCUGCAACCGAAGCCAAACGAAGCACGACAUCGGGAAGACAAACUACAACGGAACGAGCGAUCGAAUCCUCCGACCUAAACUGCAGUGUACAAAGACGACAUCACAGAUAGGACAACUUUCUCAAUCUAAGGACAUCACCAUCUUUUCUCAACUAUACUAGCUACUCACUACCUGACUAAGCAUAGGACUGUUUACAUUUGCCAUCGUUCAUGUAUUUUAUCUGUUUUGUUCACCGAACAUAACUGUUGAUAUAUAUUUCCAAGGUUAUUUGGUAGUUGGCUUCGCCACACCAUUUAAGGGCUAUCGUUAGUAUUGCUUCUCAGAGACAUGAGGUCUGCCUUUGUGUUGUGUCGGUCCAAUCGGUUGAGAUAACCAACAUAUUGGUGCUGUUGUCAGGAUAGUACCAAUGGACCUCACUCUCGAACACUUUCUUUAAUGUCUUCUUACGAACCUCGUAAUACCAACCCUAAGAAAGCUCCCUGCCAGAUUCAUGAAUACGUGGAAAUGUGUUCUUAAACGGCCAACGUGUUCUCAGCUGCGCUCCCCCGAAUGAGGAUUCUUAAAUUGAAUGUGCAUUCUCGUACACCUGAAUUUGCAUACAUAAUCGCCCUGCCAGCUCCUUAUAAGUGCGAUAGACUCCUGUGCACACAGAACCCACAGGUAAUGCAACAGCAACACAAUUUCAAAUCAUGUCAAAGCGGAAAGCAAACAACAGUGGCGCACAUGCCAGUAAACGAAGACCUAACUUUACCGGUCCAGAGAUGGAGGUAUUGUUUCAAGGUGUAGAGAGUAAGCGUGACAUCUUAUUUAGUCCUGUAAGUGCGGGGUACAACUCCAGCAAAAAAAAAGAGGCAUGGGAGGACAUAACAGGUGACAUUAACAUGGUGUCAGGAGAGGGGCGCACAGCAGCUGAAGUUAAAAAGAAAUGGGCUGAUGUGAAAUCAGAGGCCAAAAAAAGAAUCUCCAAGCAUAGGAGAGACAUGCUGGCCACUGGAGACGGAACAGCGGACCCAGGGUUGUCUGAGAGGGACCAGCGCGUCGAGGCCAUCAUGGAAGCCAAACCAGUCGACGGUGUGCCAGGUGCUGAUAAUAUGGACACAGACCAGGGGUACCACCUAUCCUCAGCAGCCGUGGCCCCAUCACCCAUCCUAUCUCCCCCGUUGAUUAAGCGAGAAAUUGAAACGGACGAUGAAACUGAUGAUUCUGAGGCAGAACCAGCCCAGCCGUCCACAAGCGCUGCCCCACCAGCCCGGCCGUCCAUCAGCGCUGCCACGCGUGCACCCAGGGCCCGUGGUGACAUAAUAACUCAGGCGGUGCUGGACAGCCAGCUGAGAAUCGCCGACAGCCAGGAGAGAAUCGCUGGGGCACUGGAAGCGCUUGCAGCAACAAUGGCGAAAAUGAACGAUACCCUCACCCAAAUAAACAAAAAGAUGCCCUGACACCCUUGUUUGAGUAUUACUGAAGAGAUGUGUUCUGUAGAUAAAUUGUAAACUGUAUCAAAUAAUAGUGAC